rnacentral:rRNA from 1 species
UUGGGAAUAUUGGACAAUGGGCGCAAGCCUGAUCCAGCAAUGCCGCGUGAGGGAUGAAGGCUCUCGGGUCGUAAACCUCUUUCAGCAGGGAAAAAGGGAAACUUGAUGGUACCUGCAGAAGAAGCACCGGCUAACUACGUGCCAGCAGCCGCGGUAAUACGUAGGGUGCAAGCGUUGUUCGAAAUCACUGGGCGUAAAGCGCGUGUAGGCGGUUUGUUAAGUCUAAUGUGAAAGCCCGGAGCUUAACUCCGGAAGUGCAUCGGAUACUGGCAAACUAGAGGACAGAAGAGGGAAGUGGAAUUCCUGGUGUAGGGGUGAAAUCCGUAGAUAUCAGGAGGAACAUCAGUGGCGAAGGCGGCUUCCUGGUCUGUUUCUGACGCUCAGACGCGAAAGCAUGGGG